GACGUAGGGCGCGAGCGUUGUCCGGAUUUAUUGGGCGUAAAGAGCUCGUAGGCGGUUUGUCGCGUCGUCCGUGAAAACCUGUGGCUUAACUACAGGCUUGCGGUCGAUACGGGCAGGCUAGAGUUCGGUAGGGGAGACUGGAAUUCCUGGUGUAGCGGUGAAAUGCGCAGAUAUCAGGAGGAACACCGGUGGCGAAGGCGGGUCUCUGGGCCGAUACUGACGCUGAGGAGCGAAAGCGUGGGGAGCGAACAGG
rnacentral:rRNA from 1 species